UCACAUUCUUUAAGGGAUUUCAGAGGGCACAGCUGUGGCCACCUUUUCACCUUAUCAGUGAUAUCCUCAAAUUGGAGCUUAGAACAUCUACAGCCAUACCCUUGGGGAUGAUCACACUGUUGUCUGAUGCCUUGACUGAAGAAAUCCAGAAGAGGAAGUAGUGAGGCCAGCUUGAAGACCGUUUCCAGUAUCAGAGACCAAGAAAAUCUCUAUGCAAAGACCAAGUUCACUAAAACAGAUUUGCAGGGCCUGAAUAUCUUCUGAAAUGUGACAGAGAGAUUUAUUGAAGAGUCUGCAUCAGAUGACAGAAAAGGAGUUUGAAGCUCUCAUCUUGCAGCAGCAACCUCAAGUUGAAUAACUACCUACAUGUAAACAUAUCUCCACAGAUG